rnacentral:rRNA from 1 species
CAACGCUGGCGGCGUGCCUAACACAUGCAAGUCGAACGAGAAAGUGGAGCAAUCCAUGAGUAAAGUGGCGCACGGGUGAGUAACACGUGACUAACCUACCCUUGAGUGGGGAAUAACUGAGGGAAACCUCAGCUAAUACCGCAUAAUACCUACGGGUCAAAGGAGCAAUUCGCUCAAGGAGGGGGUCGCGGCCGAUUAGUUAGUUGGCGGGGUAAUGGCCCACCAAGACGAUGAUCGGUAUCCGGCCUGAGAGGGCGCACGGACACACUGGAACUGAAACACGGUCCAGACUCCUACGGGAGGCAGCAGUGGGGAAUUUUGCGCAAUGGGGGAAACCCUGACGCAGCAACGCCGCGUGGAGGAUGAAGUCCUUCGGGACGUAAACUCCUUUCGAUCGGGACGAUUAUGACGGUACCGGAAGAAGAAGCCCCGGCUAACUUCGUGCCAGCAGCCGCGGUAAUACGAGGGGGGCGAGCGUUGCUCGGAAUUAUUGGGCGUAGAGGGUGCGUAGGCGGUUUGGUAAGUCUUAUGUGAAAUCUAUGGGCUCAACUCAUAGACUGCAUGA